AGAAUCAACGCUGGCGGCGUGCCUAACACAUGCAAGUCGCACGAGAAAGGGGAGCAAUCCCUGAGUAAAGUGGCGCACGGGUGAGUAACACGUGAAUGAUCUACCUCCGAGUGGGGAAUAACUGAGAGAAAUCUUAGCUAAUACCGCAUAAUACCCACGGGUCAAAGCAGCAAUGCGCUUGGAGAGGAGUUCGCGGCCGAUUAGCUAGUUGGCGGGGUAAUGGCCCACCAAGGCGAUGAUCGGUAUCCGGCCUGAGAGGGCGCACGGACACACUGGAACUGAAACACGGUCCAGACUCCUACGGAGGCAGCAGUGGGGAAUUUUGCGCAAUGGGGGAAACCCUGACGCAGCAACGCCGCGUGGAGGAUGAAGCCCUUGGGUGUAAACUCCUUCGAUCGGGAAGAUAAUGACGGUACCGAUAUAAGAAGCCCGGCUAACUUCGCGCCAGCAGCCGC
rnacentral:rRNA from 1 species